GUAACGAGCAUGGUUACUUCUCCCUGACAGCUAGCAGGCAUUACUAGAUACGAGACUGACAGAUUGAUAACAGGUAGUUAAAAAUGUAUUCAAACGAACCAGCAAAAAAGAAAUGCAAAGGGGAUCAUAUUACAUAGCCCCCAGGUAGUACAAAUUAAUUUUACAGUAAAGAAGACUACCAUUUCUUACCUCUCAAGUGGCAACCAGACCCGCAACCAAGAGUAGCCACUCUGUUCAGCCGGAAGACAGAGCGUGAAGACGCGCUAGCUAUAGGAGGGACAAUAGGAGACUGGAAGAACAUAUUGACAGUGGCCCAGAGUGAACGUUUUGAACGGUUCCACCAGGAGAGGAUGAAGGACUUACCUCUCAACAUCAUCUGGGACAUCACUGUGCUGCAGGGCUGAUACACACAUAUACACACACAUGUACGCUCAUGCACACCCACACACUUGCACACAAAUAAAGACAUGCACAGUAGACACUGAUUGAAAAUUGGCAAAAAAAGAUAUGUAAUAAUAUUGAUCUGUGCGUUUGGGAUGGUAGGCAAUACGUUUCAGGAGCUCCCUGGCAUAUGCAGAUGGUAUAGUAAUCAACAUUAAUGACAAUUAACGCAAAUCAGAUAUAUAUUGCAGGUAUUCCUACCAUACAGCUGUUUCUUCAGCAUUUUCAACCACAAGCGAAGGGCUUUUGGACCGUGACAAACGCAGUUACUUUGACUAAUUCAAAAGAAAUAGAUGAAAAAAAAUGGCUGAUGUGAGUAUUGAAGGUGCGGUGAAAUAGAAUGUCUAGAUUGUGGCAAUCAUAAGAAAAUAAUGUCCAGUUUUAAUAAAACAUAUUACAUUAAAUAUAUCCAUCCCACAUAAUAUAGGAUUACACAGUCCGUUGAUAUAAAAACAAUUACCUGAAAACAAAACUCAAAUAAAUCUAUGCAAAGGCCAAACUUUAGCAGUAGAAUUAGUGGAAUGUGGGCAAGGUCCUAAGGCUACAUUAAGAAACGUUUUCAUUUCAGUGUGUUGAAAAGAUACCAGCUAAAUGUGUUUAUUACUAGGAUAAAAACAUACCUGGACUGGCCUGGACUGGGCUAUUUAUAGGCCUACAUUAAAUAUGAAAAUUAAUAAAACUUCAGUUAAACCGUUUAUUAAUUACAAUGUAAAGGUCAUAAUCUGCGAUGUACACUUUAGAAGGUCACCUGCUUUCCUACAUUUUCAACAGUAGACUGCAGUGCAUGCCUUCAGGUUCCACAGUUCCACUGAGAAUGUAUUGACACUUAUUAGGGCAAGUCGGUGUAACUUUUACUAAUUUCAGUGUUGAACUUUUGUUGAUAACUUGCGCAAGCACGGGGUUGAAGCCAAGAAGAUUUCCCAGGUGCCCCCGGGAGUAUGUAGUCCCUGGUCAACGCAGAGCAGUCUUUCUGAAGGGUCAUGACUCAUGUAACAGAUGGGUGAUAAAAACCAGGGCUUCAGCCAGAAGGCAAGACAAUGUAACCCACCGACCCAACAUGACCAGGCAUGCCGGUCUGUCCAGUGUUCCAAGAGAAAUAGGGACACCUCUUCCCUGGACUCGGACACAGAGGAUCUCAGCGCGUCCCAAAAAUUUUUUUUCCGUUACUUCCCGUAUGUUUCAAUGAUCAGACACCACACAGUGUUGGACUGGGCCUGUUGAAAUAUCUUGGGACAGUCAUAAAUGAUUUGUGAAUUCUUGAUCUCCUUUUGCAGCCAGGUUCUGCUCGCUCUAUGAUGUAGGCAAGAUGCUGGGACAAGGAGACUUUGGGUCUGUCUAUGAAGGGACACAUAAGCAGGAUGGAAAACAUGUUAUCCUUAUCAUUCCCUACCUUUACUGUCACUUCCUUGUAUUCUGUCUUUCUUUCCUUUAGCCACUCUUCACAGUCUACUCUCUACCACUUUGCUUUCUUUCCUCUUGAUUUUUUCCAUUCUUCUCUGCUCUGUCCCUCUUCCCUCUCAACACUUUCCUAUCUCUUCCCUUGUUCCCCUUGCAUUCCCAUCUCUUCCCUUGUUCCCCUUUCUUUCCUCUCUUCCCUUGUUCCCCUUGCUUUCCUCUCUCUUCCCUUGUUCCCCUUGCUUUCCUAUCUCUUCCCUUGUUCCCCUUGCAUUCAUCUUUCUUCCCUUGAUCCUCUUGCAUUCCCAUCUCUUCCCUUGUUCCCCUUUCUUUCCUCUCUCUUCCCUUGUUCCCCUUGCAUUCCUCUUUCUUCCCUUGUUCCCCUUGCAUUCCCAUCUCUUCCCUUGUUCCCCUUUCUUUCCUCUCUCUUCCCUUGUUCCCCUUGCUUUCCUAUCUCUUCCCUUGUUCCCCUUGCAUUCCUAUCUCUUCCCUUUCUUGUACCUUUCCUCUGUCUUUCCUCCGUUGUCGUCUGUUGUUUUGCACUAUGACACAUUAGCACACUUACGUUAAUUAUUCACAGCAGUGUUCUUCUUUCCCAGGUGGCCCUGAAGUUCAUCCCUAAGGCUCAUGAUGAUGAAUACUUAACAUUAGAAAGUCACAGUAAAUGCUGGUCAACCUAUUGUCGUAUAGAUUGAAAUCUGGCUAUGAGUGUUAGUCUACCUAGCAAAAGCAAGCACAUUCAGACCGAUGCAGUGUGCUAAUCAACAUCUCUUUAGCCUAGAACAUUUUGCGUGUGUGUUGACCAACCCGCCUUAGCCUGGAACAUCAUGACUCGUGUUAACCAACCUCCCCGCUUUAGCCUGAAAUGUCACAGACUUCCCCUGGAGGUAGCUCUGCCUUUGCUAGUGUCCCAGCCCUUGGCUUGUGACCACGUCGUGGCUCUUUUGGAUUGGUUCAACGAGCCCGACUGCAUCAUCCUGGUCAUGGAGCAUCCCGCGCCCGGCACAGACGUGUACCACUACAUGUGCACCGUUGUGGACGGGGCCUUCAGCGAGGACACAGCGAGGGGCAUCAUGCGACAGGCGGUGAUGGCGUGCCGGCACUGCCGAGACCGCGGCGCCCUGCACCGGGACGUCAAAGGGGAGAAUCUGCGGCUGCAAAUGGACACUCUCCAGGUGAAGCUGAUCGACUUUGGCGAACUGCUGAAGGAGGAGCCAUACCACCAGCAUUCUGGUUAGCCGGGCUUUAGAACGACGGCGGUCUACUGACGUUCCGUCACUGUGGUGAAGUAGCACCCAAAACAACACACCCCUCUCUCUCUGUCUCAAGCACCGCUGAGUACUGCCCGCCGGAGUGUUUCACCAAAGGGAUGUACAACGGGCGCAAGGCCACCGUCUGGUCUCUCAGCGUGCUGCGGUUUACCCUGGUAAACGGGAAGCUGCCCUACAAGGAUGAGUACAGAAUCCACAGAGGACACAGGCUGCACUUUAAAACAGGCAUUUCUAAAGGUAUGCACACAGGGAGAGAAUGGUACGGUUUUCACCUCGCAUGGGAUUUGAACCAACAACCUCUCAUUUACUGGUCCAACACACUUGACCACUGGUUUGCCGCCUAUCGCCCUACUCCAAUUGAAAGUCUGAGACCUUCACCGCCACAGCGGCCCGUGUGCAGGCAUCUUUAUGCAGGGGUGAAUUCGGCUGACUAUUCUAACGUCACAAAUUACAAAUUAGGAAACGUUCAUCGAUUUUCAGUACGCUAAUUUGCUUAAUUAGCAUUAAUCAACUACUUGGAUGUAUCUUUUGAACCAUUCGUGCCACAGACACAAAACCAAAUGUUUCAUACGUUUAAGCUGUCCCCACUGCAAAUUUGUGUUGCGAUCCCGUCCCCGUAAGCUGGUUUUCCUGUCUGUCUGUGUCUGUUUUGUGUGUUCCAGAGUGUGGCCCGUUCCGGUUGCAAGGCGGGAGGUCCAGGAUCACCUGUUCCUGGUUGGGAAUCACCACACCUGGUCCUGAUCGGCAUUACAACCCUACUUAAGCUGAGACCUGACAUCCAGUCCCUGCCAGAUCGUUAGUAACACUGCUACGCAUGCAGGAUCUCCGCCCUGGACUUCACUCCUGGCGGACUACCGGAACCGUCUACCCCCCGUGGAACACGCUACCGCUCCAAACCUCACGUUCUCACCAUUCUGCAUGUCUGCCAUUACCUACUUCAUCACAAGAUUGUGCUCAAUAAAUACCUGCUUUCU